UUUCGCCUUGGGAGGGAAGUGCUGGCGAUGGGCGCGGCGGAGCCGCUCAUGUGCGCGCCUCCAGGCGGAGCCAGGGCGCGGGAAGGCGGCGCCUCGGGAGAACAAUGAUCGUAAAACGCGGGGGUGGAGCUCAGGGCUGCGUCCCUCCCCGCCAAGGCAGUUCCGAGUUGCACAAGACAACUGAGCCCUUGGCCGUAGAAACCGUGAUCCUACCUCGAGGGCUAGUGAGGCCCGGCGGCUCCAAGUCACACACCUGACUCGGGGAGCCCGGGGGCAUCCGACGCCCCACAAAAUGGAGACUCGCGAGUCCGCCUGGCAGGAGCUCUCGCGUCUGCCCUUCCUUCCACUCCCCAGGCCAUGUCCAUGGCCUCACUCUAAAACGUUGCUUGCUAAAUGUAAGAAGAAAAGAACUACUUGGAUGUUGCUGAAGUGGGAGGCGCCGUUUAAGCUUUGAACAAAGGUUUGAAAAUGUGUGGAACAGCUUUCUGAGGCGCUCUGCAGCUUGUCACGCCCUAGAAACUUAGCCCAAGGGUCAUCUUUUCGUGUCUGGAAGCUCCCGCUGGAAAAAUUGCAGUGUUUCGCUUUGGGAGGGCAACAGAGCUAGCUGAGGAGCCAGACCUCUUCCACCAUCCAGGGACACAGCCUUCAGGAACCCUAACUCCCAGAAGCUCAUUUCAGAUGAACCCAUGGGGUUUCCACACAGACUAAAUGUGAAAUGUGAGAAGUCAAGAAUACCUCCAAGAUCUUUGCCCUGAAGGAUGAAAGUUGCCACAAACUGAGAUGGAUGACAUUCGGAGCAGGAUGACUUUCAUGAAAGAGGAAGUCAACCAGGAGCCUGUUAACUUCCAGAUUCUGAACAAAAAUUACAGAAAAUCUAUCCCUGAGUUUUUGCACAGUUGUGGGAAAGCAAACUGCAACCUGAGAUGUGAUCUACAUACAGUCUUCCAGAAAAAGAAUUCUUAUUGGUCACUAAUGCUCCAAUUCUCAACAGGUCAAGGAAUGAGGCUUACCUCAUUACUACCAGAAAACUGCAUACACUCCAUACAAUAUGUUUUGUAUGAACACUGGCAACACUAGAUUGGUUUUAAAAAAAAAAAACUGCUGCAGCAAAACUGGAAGCAAAGAACAGAAGAAUGUGAGUAAUAUACUGGAGUUGUUUAUCUUUACUGUUGUUGACACAAAUGCCCUGCCCAAGGGAAGGGAGAGAAAAAGGGACAGUCGCUGGCAAUUUGUCCUGAAACUCACUUGCAGCCAACUGAGAGUUUCCAGCUGCCAAACGUCAGGUAUGUUCACAGUUGAGGGACUAUUUAAUCAUAGCGGCCCAAAACUGGAGAGACCUUGUCUGUGCUUCCCUUCACUCUCCUCAGCUCUGUGUAAGUCACCCUGGCUGUCACAUGGGUGGGGAGCUGCCUUCCCGGUUUCAUUUUUCCUCUACUCCCACCUUCACCCAUUUACUCCUCCAAAGACCUCAGCUCGGUCCUCCCCACCCCAUAAUUCUGUAUUUGACUCCAAGAGAGAUAAGUGAGAUUACCACAAGCUGGUCGGGGAGGAGCUGCCUUCUCCCUUUACCUCACCCCACCCGUAGGCACAGUGCAAUUACCUAUCUGUUUGGCAUGUGUCUUCCCCAUGCUGCUCUUGCCCAUUUCCCACAGACGUCCCAAACUGUGACUCUCUGUCUGUCUGUCUCUCUCUCUCAGGAGAUGCAUUCCCAUAUUACAUAGGCAAUAAGAUAAAGACUACAGAUCUACAUAUUUUGCACCUUUGCAACUCCAUUCUCCCCUCUUCCCUUUGGUUGCCUUCCUUAUCCCCCUACUUAUUGAUUUGUCUGUUGCAGUCAUCCCUCCAUACCCUUGGAGGACUGGCUUCAAGAUUUCAGAAAAGAAACUGCCUUCUGUCCCAUUCUGUGGUUGUAAGGCUAAACAAUACUCCUUGAUAUGGCCUCCGCUGAGCCCUUGCAUGGCCCCCCCUUACCUGCCCUCCAAGGUAGUCAGGGUAAGAGAGAAGCACAGUAUGCAUGCCUCCUCAUAGGACAAAAUAUUCCAGAUUGGUUACCCAGAGGGGCAACUACAAUGCUCUAAGCACGUGUCUAUGGUAUUAAUUCCAUUUUACCUGACUAAAUUUGUAAUUGUGAUCGCAUUGACAACUUGUUACAUCAUGGAACUCACAGGUUUAUCUCCUGCUGUCAGCUCUCUCUUCAUGACCUCGUGCUCAUCUAUCUGCUUCUCUUCCCAGCCCCCACUGGAGCAGAUCUUGCUGGAGUGGCCAGACUUCUCUAUUUCACUGACGGAAUCAGCAUGUUCAGUCUUCACCGCCCUUGGCCCUCCUUGCAGCAGCAUGUGACUGUUGCUUCUCCUGUCUCCUUUGUACACACUUUUCCUGACUUUUAAGGAUAUCCUUAUCCUUCUUUCUCUGUCUGCUUCUUCUCUGUGCCCUCUGAAGCCUUCUUGUUCUUCACUGACCUUUGCACGUUGAAGGUAACUGACUCUCAGUCCUUUGAUUCCUCAUUCCACUGACCAUUCUCUUCCUACACUGUUAACUACACUGUUAAACUUUGUGCACAUAAGCAUCGAUUUUUUGUAUUCCCAACCCUGGACUGCUCUGAGCUCUAGAACUGGGCUAUUAAAUGAAAGCUGCUAACUACACUUCUUUUUUUCCUGUGAUGAGGAUAGACCGCAAAUCUUCCUUCAUGUCAAGGCCAUUUUCUGCCUCUGAGCUAUUGACUACUUAAAAUGUAACUAGUAGAACAGAGACAUUAAAUUAUUUUUAAAGAUU